UACGUAGGGUCCGAGCGUUGUCCGGAAUCAUUGGGCGUAAAGAGCGCGUAGGCGGCCCAGUAAGUCCGCUCUGAAAGUCAGAGGCUCAACCUCUGAAUGCGGGUGGAUACUGCUGGGCUAGAGUCCGGAAGAGGCGAGUGGAAUUCCUGGUGUAGCGGUGAAAUGCGCAGAUAUCAGGAGGAACACCGAUGGCGAAGGCAGCUCGCUGGGACGUGACUGACGCUGAGACGCGAAAAGCGUGGGGGAGCAAACAGG
rnacentral:rRNA from 1 species